rnacentral:rRNA from 19 species
AAAACUUUCAACAACGGAUCUCUUGGUUCCAGCAUCGAUGAAGAACGCAGCGAAAUGCGAUAAGUAAUGUGAAUUGCAGAAUUCAGUGAAUCAUCGAAUCUUUGAACGCACAUUGCGCCCCUCGGUAUUCCGGGGGGCAUGCCUGUUCGAGCGUCAUUA